UACGGAGGAUGCAAGCGUUAUCCGGAAUGAUUGGGCGUAAAGCGUCCGCAGGUGGCCAUGUAAGUCUGCUGUCAAAGCGUCUGGCUCAACCAGAUAAAGGCAGUGGAAACUACAUAGCUAGAGUAACGUAGGGGUAGAGGGAAUUCCUGGUGUAGCGGUGAAAUGCGUAGAGAUCAGGAAGAACACCGGUGGCGAAAGCGCUCUGCUGGACCUUAACUGACACUGAGGGACGAAAGCUAGGGGAGCGAAUGGG
rnacentral:rRNA from 1 species